UUUAAUUGAAGAGUUUGAUCAUGGCUCAGAUUGAACGCUGGCGGCAGGCCUAACACAUGCAAGUCGAGCGGCAGCGGGAAGAAGCUUGCUUCUUUGCCGGCGAGCGGCGGACGGGUGAGUAAAGUCUGGGGAUCUGCCCGAUGGAAGGG
rnacentral:rRNA from 1 species